rnacentral:rRNA from 1 species
UACGUAGGGGGCAAGCGUUGUCCGGAAUCAUUGGGCGUAAAGCGCACGUAGGCGGAUCUUUAAGUCAGGGGUGAAAUCCUGGAGCUCAACUCCAGAACUGCCUUUGAUACUGGGGAUCUCGAGUCCGGAAGAGGUGAGUGGAACUCCGAGUGUAGAGGUGAAAUUCGUAGAUAUUAGGAAGAACACCAGUGGCGAAGGCGGCUCACUGGCCCGGUACUGACGCUGAGGCGCGAAAGCGUGGGGAGCAAACAGG